UACGAAGGGUGCAAGCGUUACUCGGAAUUACUGGGCGUAAAGCGCACGUAGGCGGCUAUUCAAGUCAGAGGUGAAAGCCCGGGGCUCAACCCCGGAACUGCCUUUGAAACUAGGUAGCUAGAAUCUUGGAGAGGUCAGUGGAAUUCCGAGUGUAGAGGUGAAAUUCGUAGAUAUUCGGAAGAACACCAGUGGCGAAGGCGACUGACUGGACAAGUAUUGACGCUGAGGUGCGAAAGCGUGGGGAGCAAACAGG
rnacentral:rRNA from 1 species